CAUCCGAUCUACCUCCCUCUUGUUCGAUUAACUAAUGUUAUUCUUAGAUCUUAUUCAUGAGAUUGAGUAAAAUAAAGAUACUUAUAGAUUAUUCUAAUUUCUAUGUAUACUAAACUAUUCUAAUUACAUUAUUUUAUCUCGAGCCCNCAGUGGGAGGCUCACACGACGGGCUAUUAGCUCAAUGGUAGAGCGCGCCCCUGAUAAUUGCGUUGUUGUGCCUGGGCUGUGAGGCCCAUACAUCAUAAAUUUCUUUUCUCGGAGAAGAAGCAAUGACAGUAUUUGGAGAAUAAGUAUUGACUAACUCUGUGCUAAUAGCUGCGGUAAGACAGAGGAUGCAAGCGUUAUCCGAAAUGAUAGGGCAUAAAACUUCUGUAGGUGGCUUUUUAAGUCUGCCGUAAAAUCCCAGGGCUCAACCCUGGACAAGUGGUGGAAACUACCAAGCUGGAGUAUGGUAGAGGCAAAGAGAAUUUUAGGUGGAACAGUGAAAUGUGUAGAGAUCAAAAAGAACACCAACGGCGAAAGCACUUUGUUGGGCCAACAUUGACAUUGAGAGAUGAAAGCCAGGGAAGCGAAUGGGAUUAGAUACCCCAGUGUCCUAGCCAUAAAUUAUGGAUACUAGGUGUUGUGCGUAUCGACCCGUGCAGUGCUGUAGCUAAUGCGUUAAAUAUCUCGCCUGGGGAGUACGUUCGCAAUAAUGAAGCUCAAAGGAAUUGACGGGUGCCUGCACAAGCAGUGGAGCAUGUUGUUCAAUUCGAUGCAAAGCGAAAAACCUUACCAGGGCUUGACAUGCCGCGAAUCCUCUUGAAAGAGAGGGGUGCCUUUGAGAACGCGGACACAGGUGGUGCAUGGUUGUUGUCAACUCGUGCUAUAAGGUGUUGGGUUAAGUCUAGCACAGUUAAUGAUAUCAUCCCAAGUAUUAAUUACACAACCUUGACUAUCAAUUAUGGAUUGGUUGAAACUGAAACCAUUUAGGUUGAAAGCCAUAGUGCUG
rnacentral:rRNA from 1 species